rnacentral:rRNA from 1 species
CGAAAGCGUGGGGAGCGAACAGGAUUAGAUACCCUGGUAGUCCACGCCGUAAACGAUGAGUGCUAAGUGUUAGGGGGUUUCCGCCCCUUAGUGCUGCAGCUAACGCAUUAAGCACUCCGCCUGGGGAGUACGGUCGCAAGACUGAAACUCAAAGGAAUUGACGGGGGCCCGCACAAGCGGUGGAGCAUGUGGUUUAAUUCGAAGCAACGCGAAGAACCUUACCAGGUCUUGACAUCCUCUGACAAUCCUAGAGAUAGGACGUCCCCUUCGGGGGCAGAGUGACAGGUGGUGCAUGGUUGUCGUCAGCUCGUGUCGUGAGAUGUUGGGUUAAGUCCCGCAACGAGCGCAACCCUUGAUCUUAGUUGCCAGCAUUCAGUUGGGCACUCUAAGGUGACUGCCGGUGACAAACCGGAGGAAGGUGGGGAUGACGUCAAAUCAUCAUGCCCCUUAUGACCUGGGCUACACACGUGCUACAAUGGACAGAACAAAGGGCAGCGAAACCGCGAGGUUAAGCCAAUCCCACAAAUCUGUUCUCAGUUCGGAUCGCAGUCUGCAACUCGACUGCGUGAAGCUGGAAUCGCUAGUAAU